CGGACGGGUGAGUAAUGUCUGGGAAACUGCCCGAUGGAGGGGGAUAACUACUGGAAACGGUAGCUAAUACCGCAUAACGUCGCAAGACCAAAGAGGGGGACCUUCGGGCCUCGCGCCAUCAGAUGAACCCAUAUGGGAUUAGCUAGUAGGUGGGGUAAUGGCUCACCUAGGCGACGAUCCCUAGCUGGUCUGAGAGGAUGGGCAGCCACACUGGAACUGAGACACGGCCCAG
rnacentral:rRNA from 1 species